rnacentral:rRNA from 1 species
UACGUAGGGGGCAAGCGUUGUCCGGAAUUAUUGGGCGUAAAGAGCUCGUAGGCGGCCUGUUGCGUCCGCUGUGAAAUCCCGGGGCUCAACCCCGGGCCUGCAGUGGAUACGGGCUGGCUAGAGGCAGGCAGGGGAGAACGGAAUUCCUGGUGUAGCGGUGAAAUGCGCAGAUAUCAGGAGGAACACCGGUGGCGAAGGCGGUUCUCUGGGCCUGUACUGACGCUGAGGAGCGAAAGCGUGGGGAGCGAACAGG